CCGCCCUGUGCCUCGCUCAAUUUUAUACAUUCAAUUAUAAAGUUUCGAGCUGGAUGGUUCCCCUGCAAAGAUUUUUCUGUCUUUUUUUUUUGAAUUAGCGUUCGGAAAAAAAAAGAAAAGCUUUAUCAAUUUAAGCAGGGUUUACCAAUGGGCUAUAUCAAUGAAAACACCUUUUGAGUACGAUGGCCCGUUUUAUUUCUUUCAAUCAGGCAUUUUUCGUAAUUAGGUUAAUUGUUUUACAUUU
rnacentral:snoRNA from 1 species